GUGCCUCCAGCCUCCUUGGCUCCCUGAGUGCCUCACUUUGCCUUCUCCCCUGUUUCUCCCACCUCUGAGGCCGAGUAGCAGAAGUCAGAAGCUGGUGUCCAAGAGCCCCAAGAAGCAUGGUUAUGUCCCCUGAAGCCCUGGUCCACAUGAAGCUCUUCCUGCUUUUCUUCAGAGGAAGAUGCAGGAGCUGGUUAAUGGAAUGGAUUUUGCAUUCAGACAUCUCUUGGGGCUGCCUGUAGGUGGAUAUGUUCAUGGAAGACGGUGAAAAAGACAAGAAUAGGAUUUGCUGUAUAGAAUCACUAUAGUCACCAUCACACUGAGUAUCAACAACAUCUCUUGUUAUCCUCACAACUGUGCAAAACAGGUAAGGAGGAGAGUAUGACACCGUAUUAGUCCAUUCUCACACAGCUAUAAAAAAUACCUGAGACUAGGUAAUUUAUAAAGAAAAGAGGUUUAAUUGGCUCACAGUUCCACAGGCUGUACAGGAAGCAUGAUGCUGGCAUCUGCUUAGCUUCUGGGAAGUCCUCAGGAAACUUACAGUCAUGGUGGAAGACAAAGGGGGAGUAAGCACCUCACAUGGCCAGAGCAAGAGGAAGAGAGAGAGUGGGGAGGUUUUGCACACUUUUCAAACAACUAGAUCUCAUGAGAACUCGCUAUCUCAAUGACAGCACCAAAGGGGAAGGUGUUAAACCAUGAGAAACUGCCCCCAUGAUCCAGUCACCUCCCACCAGUCCCUACCUCCAAUAUUGGGAAUUAUAAUUUGAUAAGAGAUUUGCAGGGGAACAGGUCCAAACCAUACCAGAUAGCCAGUGUACAGGUGAAUAAUGAGGUUUAAAGAGGAAAAGGGACUUCCUCGUGACCACAGAGUGACUGACUGGUGGAGCAGAGGCUCGAACAUAAGUCUUCUAGCUUUGGAUCCCUUCAGCUUUUUUCAUUCUCUCCGAGAUUCCAGGUGGAGGGUAGUAGGUCCUGAAUUGGUAUUACUUUAAUGACAACUGCAAUUUUGCACCAAGCUAAUAGCCUUGGAAUUGUCACCAUCGCCAUGGGGCUCUUCGCCAAGAUAGCCACCACAACCAUUCCCAGGGUCACCACCAUCACAGUCAAGGUAGUUUUUACAAAGUGUCUUUCUCCAAAUAAGUCUUCACAUUAGUUGAGAAGCUGUUUGCUAAUCUCAUCAGUAUCCCCAAGUAAAGAAGGAUAGUCUACAUUAUAAGAGGCAGUUACACCUUCCUCCAAAGUUUCCUAAUGGAUAAUAAAAUAUGAAGAGUACAUUCUUUGCUAUGUAAUUAAUGGAAAUUUACCAUUUUUAAGCUUCCUUUGGGAAAUUUUCCAUGUCAAAUGAAUUUGUCGAUGGGACCCGAGAGAGAGGCUAUCACAACUGUUCCAAUGUGUACCUCUUCAUCAGGCGGCUGCUGGAGGUUAAAUUUUCAGUCACGUCUUCUGAUGGCUUUGAUCUCUGAUGACAGUGUUAACUCUAUUCACUCCUUGGUAUCACUCUGGUAUUUUAAAAUGGUCUUUUAAGAUAGCCUUGCUAAUUAUUUUGCUGGAAGUUUAAUUAAAUCUUGUCACAGAGGAAUAUGCUAUCUUGGGGAAUGGCUGCUAAACAUAAGUCAAAUUGCUAAAAAAAAAAAAAAAAAAAAGAAGGCAGAGGAGACAAAUAGGAAUACAAAGAAUGGUG